rnacentral:rRNA from 1 species
ACUCCUACGGGAGGCAGCAGUGGGGAAUAUUGCACAAUGGGCGCAAGCCUGAUGCAGCCAUGCCGCGUGUGUGAAGAAGGCCUUCGGGUUGUAAAGCACUUUCAGUCGUGAGGAAGGUAGUGUAGUUAAUAGCUGCAUUAUUUGUACGUUAGCGACAGAAGAAGCACCGGCUAACUCCGUGCCAGCAGCCGCGGUAAUACGGAGGGUGCGAGCGUUAAUCGGAAUUACUGGGCGUAAAGCGCAUGCAGGUGGUUGUUAAGUCAGAUGUGAAAGCCCGGGGCUCAACCUCGGAAUAGCAUUUGAAACUGGCAGACUAGAGUACUGUAGAGGGGGUAGGAAUUUCAGGUGUAGCGGUGAAAUGCGUAGAGAUCUGAAGGAAUACCGGUGGCGAAGGCGGCCCCCUGGACAGAUACUGACACUCAGAUGCGAAAGCGUGGGAGCAAACAGGAUUAGAU